AUACGUAGGUGGCAAGCGUUGUCCGGAUUUACUGGGUGUAAAGGGUGCGCAGGCGGCCAUUUAAGUCAGCGGUUAAAUCGUGGGGCUCAACCCCAUUCUGCCGUUGAUACUGGGUGGCUUGAUUGCGGUCGAGGUUGGCGGAAUUCGUUGUGUAGCGGUGAAAUGCAUAGAUAUGACGAAGAACACCGAUUGCGUAGGCAGCUGACCAGACCGCAAAUGACGCUCAUGCACGAAAGUGCGGGGAUCGAACAGGAUUAGAUACCCUGGUAGUCCGCACAGUAAACGAUGAAUACUUGUUUUCGGCGAUAUAAUGUCGGAGGCAAAGCGAAAGCGAUAAGUAUUCCACCUGGGGAGUACGCCGGCAACGGUGAAACUCAAAUGAAUUGACGGGG
rnacentral:rRNA from 1 species